CUUAACACAUGCAAGUCGAACGCAACCUUCGGGUUGAGUGGCGGACGGGUGAGUAACGCGUGAGAAUCUGCCUUGGGGUCGGGGACAACCACUGGAAACGGUGGCUAAUACCGGAUAAGCCUUUGGGUAAAAAAUUUAUUGCCCCAAGAGGAGCUCGCGUCUGAUUAGCUAGUUGGUGAGGUAAAAGCUCACCAAGGUAGCGAUCAGCAGCUGGUCUGAGGGGACGAUCAGCCACACUGGGACUGAGACACGGCCCAGACUCCUACGGGAGGCAGCAGUGGGGAAUUUUCCGCAAUGGGCGAAAGCCUGACGGAGCAAGACCGCGUGAGGGAGGAAGGCUCUUGGGUUGUAAACCUCUUUUCUCAGGGAAGAAGCUCUGACGGUACCUGAGGAAUCAGCCUCGGCUAACUCCGUGCCAGCAGCCGCGGUAAUACGGAGGAGGCAAGCGUUAUCCGGAAUUAUUGGGCGUAAAGCGUCCGCAGGUGGCGAUUCAAGUCUGCUGUCAAAGCACGGGGCUUAACUCCGUUAAGGCAGUGGAAACUGAAUAGCUAGAGUGCCGUAGGGGUAGAGGGAAUUCCCGGUGUAGCGGUGAAAUGCGUAGAGAUCGGGAAGAACAUCGGUGGCGAAAGCGCUCUACUGGACGGCAACUGACACUCAGCGACGAAAGCUAGGGGAGCGAAUGGGAUUAGAUACCCCAGUAGUCCUAGCUGUAACCGAUGGAUACUAGGUGUAGCUUGUAUCGACCCGAGCUGUGCCGAAGCUAACGCGUUAAGUAUCCCGCCUGGGGAGUACGCACGCAAGUUGUGAAACUCAAAGGAAUUGACGGGGGCCCGCACAAGCGGUGGAGUAUGUGGUUUAAUUCGAUGCAACGCGAAGAACCUACCCAGGGCUUGACAUGUCCGGAAUCCCGCUGAAAGCUGGGAGUGCACUUCGGGAGCCGGAACACAGUUGGUGCAUGCCUGUCGUCAGCUCGUGUCGUGAGAUGUUGGGUUAAGUCCCGCAACGAGCGCAACCCUCGUCUUUAGUUGCCAGCAUUAAGUUGGGCACUCUAGAGAGACUCCCGGUGACAAACCGGAGGAAGGUGGGGAUGACGUCAAGUCAGCAUGCCCCUUACGCUCUGGGCGACACACGUACUACAAUGGUCGGGACAGAGGG
rnacentral:rRNA from 1 species